rnacentral:rRNA from 1 species
UGGGGAAUAUUGGACAAUGGGCGCAAGCCUGAUCCAGCCAUACCGCGUGGGUGAAGAAGGCCUUCGGGUUGUAAAGCCCUUUUGUUGGGAAAGAAAUCCAGCUGGUUAAUACCCGGUUGGGAUGACGGUACCCAAAGAAUAAGCACCGGCUAACUUCGUGCCAGCAGCCGCGGUAAUACGAAGGGUGCAAGCGUUACUCGGAAUUACUGGGCGUAAAGCGUGCGUAGGUGGUCGUUUAAGUCCGUUGUGAAAGCCCUGGGCUCAACCUGGGAACUGCAGUGGAUACUGGGCGACUAGAGUGUGGUAGAGGGUAGCGGAAUUCCUGGUGUAGCAGUGAAAUGCGUAGAGAUCAGGAGGAACAUCCAUGGCGAAGGCAGCUACCUGGACCAACACUGACACUGAGGCACGAAAGCGUGGGG